AGUUCGUGGAGUGAUCUGUCUGCUUAAUUGCGUUUCGCAACGGUUAACUAUGACAGCUAUCAAUUGUGCACCAGUGUUGCGUUCGCCGGAGACUUUUUGUUUCUCGGUUUGUAGCGCCACUGGGAUAUUGCCACAGUUGUAGCGGGUUGGCCUGGAAAGCAACGAACGUGACCGCAGCCUCUUGUUGCCUCUUUUAAACGCGUCCUCCGUGACGCGCAAACAGAGUGCUAACUAGAGGGACCGCUCGACAUUUGUUAAAACAGAGGAAGGUUGCGGCAAUAACAGGU
rnacentral:rRNA from 1 species